GAUCAUGGCUCAGGAUGAACGCUGGCGGCGUGCCUAACACAUGCAAGUCGAACGAGGGUGCUUGCACCCUAGUGGCGAACGGGUGAGUAACACGUAGGUAACCUGCCUUAAGCUUGGGAUACCCAGAGGAAACUUUGGCUAAUACCGGAUAACAAUGGAAGAGGCAUCUCUUCUAUUUAAAAGGCCCUUUCAAGGGUCACUUAGAGAUGGACCUGCGGCGCAUUAGCUAGUUGGUGAGAUAACAGCCCACCAAGGCAAGGAUGCGUAGCCGACCUGAGAGGGUGAUCGGCCACAUUGGAACUGAGACACGGUCCAAACUCCUACGGGAGGCAGCAGUGAGGAGUUUUCGGCAAUGGGGGAAACCCUGACCGAGCAGCGCCGCGUGAAUGAUGACGGCCCUAUGGGUUGUAAAGUUCUUUUAUUAGGGACGAAUGACUAGCUUAGGAAAUGCAGCUAGUUUGACGGUACCUUUUGAAUAAGCCACGGCUAACUACGUGCCAGCAGCUGC
rnacentral:rRNA from 1 species